GUAUUCUUUAGCUCAGUUGGUUAGAGCGCUGCACCGGGACACAGUGACGCAGGUUUGAUUCCUGCCAGUGGACU